rnacentral:rRNA from 1 species
AAGUACAUGCAAACGGGUAUGCAUACCCGACUUUAUUCCUUUAUAAAAGAAGUUUACAACCCAUAGGGCAGUCAUCCUUCACGCUACUUGGCUGGUUCAGGCCAUCGCCCAUUGACCAAUAUUCCUCA